rnacentral:rRNA from 1 species
AGUGAGCGCUGGCGGUAGGCCUAACACAUGCCAGUCGAACGGCAGCACAGGAGAGCUUGCUCUCUGGGUGGCGAGUGGCGGACGGGUGAGGAAUACAUCGGAAUCUACCUUUUCGUGGGGGAUAACGUAGGGAAACUUACGCUAAUACCGCAUACGACCUACGGGUGAAAGUGGGGGACCGCAAGGCCUCACGCGAUUAGAUGAGCCGAUGUCCGAUUAGCUAGUUGGCGGGGUAAUGGCCCACCAAGGCGACGAUCGGUAGCUGGUCUGAGAGGAUGAUCAGCCACACUGGAACUGAGACACGGUCCAGACUCCUACGGGAGGCAGCAGUGGGGAAUAUUGGACAAUGGGCGCAAGCCUGAUCCAGCCAUACCGCGUGGGUGAAGAAGGCCUUCGGGUUGUAAAGCCCUUUUGUUGGGAAAGAAAUCCUGUCGAUUAAUACUCGGUGGGGAUGACGGUACCCAAAGAAUAAGCACCGGCUAACUUCGUG